rnacentral:lncRNA from 1 species
UUUUACUUUUUGUUUUUAUUUUCCCCUGGCAUAUUUACAUGCACAGUCUGGCAGGAUUUGGGGUGAAUCUUGGGCUCCAGGACACGAAGUCUUUGGAAGAAUUAUUUGCAAGUUCAUGAGAGCUGCGGAUCAGAGCCACGUCUAGGAAGCUCUGGCUGUCAAAAUAAGACACUCUAAACAGGUGGUGGAAGAUUUUAAACAGAAUGGACUUCUCAUGGCAACAUGACUGCCCCCAGAGGGGGCCCUUCUCUCGUCAGUGCAGAUCAGCCGUUUUUAAAACCCGUGGAGUCUUGCAUUCUUCUGUAAACUAGGGCCAGAGAAAUCACAGUCAGAUUUCCCUGUAACACUAAGAAGAAAGUUCUAAGUAGGGAAUGUUCUGGAAAA